rnacentral:rRNA from 1 species
ACGAUUCCUACGGGAGGCAGCAGUGGGGAAUUUUCCGCAAUGGGCGAAAGCCUGACGGAGCAAUGCCGCGUGGAGGCAGAAGGCCUACGGGUCCUGAACUUCUUUUCCCAGAGAAGAAGCAAUGACGGUAUCUGGGGAAUAAGCAUCGGCUAACUCUGUGCCAGCAGCCGCGGUAAUAAU